rnacentral:rRNA from 1 species
GACGGACGCUGGCGGUGUGCUUAACACAUGCAAGUCGAACGGUAAGGCCCUUUCGGGGGUACACGAGUGGCGCACGGGUGAGUAACACGUGAGUAACCUGCCCUCAUCUCUGGGAUAACAGUCGGAAACGGUUGCUAAUACUGGAUAUGAGCUUGCAAGGCAUCUUGUGGGUUGGAAAGAUUUUUUUGGUUGGGGAUGGACUCGCGGCCUAUCAGCUUGUUGGUGAGGUAGUGGCUCACCAAGGCUUCGACGGGUAGCCGGCCUGAGAGGGCGACCGGCCACAUUGGGACUGAGAUACGGCCCAAACUCCUACGGGAGGCAGCAGUGGGGAAUAUUGCACAAUGGACGGAAGUCUGAUGCAGCAACGCCGCGUGCGGGAUGACGGCCUUCGGGUUGUAAACCGCUUUCAAUUGUGACGAAGCUUUUUGUGACGGUAGCAGUAGAAGAAGCACCGGCUAACUACGUG